UGGCAUAAUAGGUAAGAUGGGCGUGAUUUCCUGAAUUGAAUUUUUAGGGCGGGCAUUUUUCCGUCAUUGAUUGGUACAGUCUAUAAAAGCCAUUGGCUUAUGUAUCUGGGCAGGCAUCAUUUCCCGGAUGGGGUUGGGCUUCCGCAGUUUCUGCUGAACGUGACCGUGGGUCAGUAAAGGAGAGCGGCUGCAUGUACAGCCUUGUUUGGCGUUUUGCCGCGGCUGUGCUGUUCGGCUGAUGAAUGUGAUCGCAUCGGUCCUCCUCCAGAAAUCAUUUGGGUGGAUAAUAUCCUCGCAGUGGCGUCACCGCUGUCUCGUUCCAGGUCGAACGGCAUUGAGUCUGUGUGUGCGUUGAGUCCCGGUCGUGUUGUUGGACCUAUGCCAAUGGACUUUGUCUUAGUUGUGUACAGGUUUUGUGCCUGAAAGUGAGUCUGUAUUUUGUGUUUCAGUUUUGUUUGAUUUUUCUAUUUUCUUUUUCAAAUUAAUCUAUUUUCUGUGUAUAAGUUAUAUUUAGUUUUUGAGUUGGAUUAUAUAUUUUUUUGCUUUUGUUAAUAUUGUGAAAUCUUGUAUUGUUAAUUUAGUUACCUUUAGUUUUUUGUUGUGAUUUUCAUUUAAAGUGUAU